GUCCACGCCCUAAACGAUGUCGACUAGGUGUUGGGGAAGGAGACUUCCUUAGUACCGCAGCUAACGCGUGAAGUCGACCGCCUGGGGAGUACGGUCGCAAGAUUAAAACUCAAAGGAAUUGACGGGGACCCGCACAAGCGGUGGAUGAUGUGGAUUAAUUCGAUGCAACGCGAAAACCUUACCUACCCUUGACAUGUCAGGAAGUUGGCUGAGAGGUCGAUGUGCCCGAAAGGGAGCCUGAACACAGGUGCUGCAUGGCUGUCGU
rnacentral:rRNA from 1 species